rnacentral:rRNA from 1 species
AGAAUCAACGCUGGCGGCGUGCCUCAGGCAUGCAAGUCGAACGCGAAAGUUCCCUUCGGGGGGCAAGUAGAGUGGCGCACGGGUGAGUAACACGUAGGUAAUCUACCUUUGGAUGGGGAAUAACAACCGGAAACGGUUGCUAAUACGCAUAAUGCAGCGGCACCUAAUGGUGACAGUUGUUAAAGCGGGGGAUCGAAAGACCUCGCGUCUGAAGAGGAGCCUGCGGCGGAUUAGCUAGUUGGUAGGGUAACGGCCUACCAAGGCUACGAUCCGUA